rnacentral:rRNA from 1 species
AGAGGAGCUGGCUCCUUGGGUGGCGAGUGGCGGACGGGUGAGGAAUGCAUCGGAAUCUGCCUUGUUGUGGGGGAUAACGUAGGGAAACUUACGCUAAUACCGCAUGAGACCUUGAGCUGAGAGGCUUUUGGUGAAAGAGGGGGACCGCAAGGCCUCUCGCGACAAGAUGAGCCGAUGCCGGAUUAGCUAGUUGGUGGGGUAAAGGCCUACCAAGGCGACGAUCCGUAGCUGGUCUGAGAGGAUGAUCAGCCACACUGGAACUGAGACACGGUCCAGACUCCUACGGGAGGCAGCAGUGGGGAAUAUUGGACAAUGGGCGCAAGCCUGAUCCAGCCAUGCCGCGUGUGUGAAGAAGGCCUUCGGGUUGUAAAGCACUUUUGUUGGGGAAGAAAUCUCGCUGGUUAAUACUCGGCGAUGCUGACGGUACCCAAAGAAUAAGCACCGGCUAACUUCGUGCCAGCAGCCGCGGUAAUACGAAGGGUGCAAGCGUUACUCGGAAUUACUGGGCGUAAAGCGUGCGUAGGCGGUUUGUUAAGUCUGCUGUGAAAGCCCCGGGCUCAACCUGGGAACUGCAGUGGAAACUGGCAAGCUAGAGUGUGUCAGAGGAUGGUGGAAUUCCCGGUGUAGCGGUGAAAUGCGUAGAGAUCGGGAGGAACAUCAGUGGCGAAGGCGGCCAUCUGGGACAACACUGACGCUGAGGCACGAAAGCGUGGGGAGCAAACAGGAUU